rnacentral:rRNA from 1 species
ACGAACGCUGGCGGCAUGCCUAACACAUGCAAGUCGAACGAGACCUUCGGGUCUAGUGGCGCACGGGUGCGUAACGCGUGGGAACCUGCCCUUAGGUUCGGAAUAACUCCCCGAAAGGGGUGCUAAUACCGGAUAAUGUCUUCGGACCAAAGAUUUAUCGCCUUUGGAUGGGCCCGCGUUGGAUUAGCUAGUUGGUAGGGUAAAAGCCUACCAAGGCGACGAUCCAUAGCUGGUCUGAGAGGAUGAUCAGCCACACUGGGACUGAGACACGGCCCGGACUCUUACGGGAGGGAGCAGGGGGAGAUGGUGGAUAAUAGGCGGAAGUCUGUUCAAGCAAUGCCGCGAGAGUGAUGAGGGCUUUAGGGUUGUAAUGUUCUUAUAACUAGAAAGAUAAGGACAGAAGCGGGCGAAAAAGCCCCGGCUAACUACGUG